CGGGCAAAAAACAGAGAACUAAUUUCGUGAAGACUAUUUUUGGGUUCUGAAAACUAUACCAAUAAAAAGUACGUUAAAAACUGUAUUUGGUACACCAAAUUGUAUAAGGAUUACAGGUUAUCUAUACAGAAAUACGAUUUCAUGAAAAUGUCUUGCCAGGUUGUCUGUUAACAUAAUUUGACGUUGCAACAAGCGUAUUAUGCUAGAAAUGACAUGAACUGCAUUCACGGGUUCCUUCUUCCGCUUACUAUAAAUGUCCUGCUUUCUACAAUACGAAAUGGUGCACAUUACAAAAAAUGCACAUCUAUAAGACCAUCAAAAAGAAAGAAAAACUUCAGUAUCAUAAUUAUAAGCCAUUGUAUUAUCUCUUGUACCACCGCUUGGAUUAAAUAAUGCAGAAAUAUUCCAC
rnacentral:lncRNA from 1 species